UACAGAGGGUGCUAGCGUUGUUCGGAAUCAUUGGGCGUAAAGGGCGUGUAGGCGGUUUGUUAAGUCAUGUGUGAAAUCCCUCGGCUUAACCGGGGAACUGCGUCUGAUACUGGAUGGCUUGAGUUUGGGAGAGGGAUGCGGAAUUCCAGGUGUAGCGGUGAAAUGCGUAGAUAUCUGGAGGAACACCGGUGGCGAAGGCGGCAUCCUGGACCAACACUGACACUGAGGAGCGAAAGCCAGGGGAGCAAACGGG
rnacentral:rRNA from 1 species